AGGCACUGCCAAGUGUCCCCUUAGUCUGUACUGUGACUAUGGGGCCUCAUUCCAGUGCUAGAAUAAGUCCCUUCUUGCAGAAAGGCCAGGAUGUGCUGUGUCCUGCCCCUUCCGAUAGUUGGGUACACCC